UACCGAGUUUACAACUCCCAAACCCAAUGUGAACGUUACCAAACUGUUGCCUCGGCGGGAUCUCUGCCCCGGGUGCGUCGCAGCCCCGGACCAAGGCGCCCGCCGGAGGACCAACCAAAACUCUUAUUGUAUACCCCCUCGCGGGUUUUUUUAUAAUCUGAGCCUUCUCGGCGCCUCUCGUAGGCGUUUCGAAAAUGAAUCAAAACUUUCAACAACGGAUCUCUUGGUUCUGGCAUCGAUGAAGAACGCAGCGAAAUGCGAUAAGUAAUGUGAAUUGCAGAAUUCAGUGAAUCAUCGAAUCUUUGAACGCACAUUGCGCCCGCCAGUAUUCUGGCGGGCAUGCCUGUCCGAGCGUCAUUUCAACCCUCGAACCCCUCCGGGGGGUCGGCGUUGGGGAUCGGCCCUCCCUUAGCGGGUGGCCGUCUCCGAAAUACAGUGGCGGUCUCGCCGCAGCCUCUCCUGCGCAGUAGUUUGCACACUCGCAUCGGGAGCGCGGCGCGUCCACAGCCGUUAAACACCCAACUUCUGAAAUGUUGACCUCGGAUCAGGUAGGAAUACCCGCUGAACUUAAGCAUAUCAAUAAGCGGAGGAAAAGAAACCAACAGGGAUUGCCCCAGUAACGGCGAGUGAAGCGGCAACAGCUCAAAUUUGAAAUCUGGUCCCUAGGGCCCGAGUUGUAAUUUGUAGAGGAUGCUUUUGGUGAGGUGCCCAGUUCCCUGGAACGGGACGCCACAGAGGGUGAGAGCCCCGUCUGGCUGGCCGCCGAGCCUCUGUAAAGCUCCUUCGACGAGUCGAGUAGUUUGGGAAUGCUGCUCAAAAUGGGAGGUAUAUGUCUUCUAAAGNUAAAUAUUGGCCAGAGACNNGAUAGCGCACNAGUAGAGUGAUCGAAGAUGAAAAGCAUCUUGAA
rnacentral:rRNA from 1 species